UACGGAGGGAGCUAGCGUUGUUCGGAAUUACUGGGCGUAAAGCGCACGUAGGCGGCGAUUCAAGUCAGAGGUGAAAGCCCGGGGCUCAACCCCGGAACUGCCUUUGAAACUAGAUUGCUAGAAUCCUGGAGAGGUUAGUGGAAUUCCGAGUGUAGAGGUGAAAUUCGUAGAUAUUCGGAAGAACACCAGUGGCGAAGGCGACUAACUGGACAGGUAUUGACGCUGAGGUGCGAAAGCGUGGGGAGCAAACAGG
rnacentral:ncRNA from 4 species